rnacentral:rRNA from 1 species
CCUACGGGAGGCAGCAGUGGGGAAUUUUGGACAAUGGGCGCAAGCCUGAUCCAGCUAUUCCGCGUGUGGGAUGACGUCUCUCGGGUUGUAAACCACUUUCGUAGAGAACGAAAAGGAGCUAUCGAAUAAAUAGCUCCGCUGACGGUACUCUAAGAAUAAGCACCGGCUAACUACGUGCCAGCAGCCGUGGUAAUACGUAGGGUGCGAGCGUUAAUCGGAUUGACUGGGCGAAAAGGGUGUGCAGGCGGCUGAGUAAGACAGAUGUGAAAUCCCCGGGCUUAACCUGGGAACCGCAUAUGUGACUGCAUGGCUGGAGUGCGGGAGAGGGAGGUGGAAUUCCAGGUGUAGCAGUGAAAUGCGUAGAUAUGUGGAAGAACACCGGUGGCGAAGGCAGCCUCCUGGGACGCGACUGACGCUGAUACACGAAAGCGUGGGGAGCGAACAGGAUUAGAUACCCGGGUAGUC